rnacentral:rRNA from 1 species
UCGGGAAUCUUGCACAAUGGGCGAAAGCCUGAUGCAGCAACGCCGUGUGAGCGAGGAAGGUCUUCGGAUCGUAAAGCUCUGUUGUUGGGGACGAAGGGCGAAGGGUUAAUAGCCCCUAGCCUGACGGUACCCUUCGAGGAAGCCCCGGCUAACUACGUGCCAGCAGCCGCGGUAAUACGUAGGGGGCGAGCGUUGUUCGGAAUUACUGGGCGUAAAGCGCACGUAGGCGGACCGUUAAGUCGGGGGUGAAAUCCCGGGGCUCAACCCCGGAACUGCCUCCGAUACUGGUGGUCUUGAGUCCGAGAGAGGAUGGUGGAACACCCAGUGUAGAGGUGAAAUUCGUAGAUAUUGGGUAGAACACCGGUGGCGAAGGCGACCAUCUGGCUCGGUACUGACGCUGAGGUGCGAAAGUGUGGGGAGCAAACAGGAUUAGAUACCCGCGUAGUCC